rnacentral:rRNA from 1 species
GAGGGCUCAAGCGUUGUUCGGAUUCAUUGGGCGUAAAGGGUGUGUAGGUGGCGCGCUAAGUCGGGUGUGAAAUUUCGGAGCUUAACUCCGAAACUGCAUUCGAUACUGGCGUGCUUGAGGACUGGAGAGGAGACUGGAAUUUACGGUGUAGCAGUGAAAUGCGUAGAUAUCGUAAGGAAGACCAGUGGCGAAGGCGGGUCUCUGGACAGUUCCUGACACUGAGACACGAAGGCCAGGGGAGCAAACGGG